UACCCGCAGCUCAAGUGGUGGUCAUUAUUAUUGGGCCUAAAGCGUCCGUAGCUGGCCUGUUAGAUGCCUGGGUAAAUCGAUGCGCUCAACGUAUCGAACUCCGGGUAGACCGGCAGGCUUGGGACCGGGAGAGAUGUGAGCUACUCGAGGGGUAGGGGUAAAAUCCUGUAAUCCUUCGGGGAGGACCAGUGGCGAAGGCGUCACAUUAGAACGGCUCCGACAGUGAGGGACGAAGCCCUGGGGCGCAAACCGG
rnacentral:rRNA from 1 species